UUACUAGUUACUGUGAAUAAAGGCUUCUCUUGAGGAAGUCAUCUGUAGAUACGGUUUUUCUUUACUUUUGGGUUAGGGUUAGGGCCGAUGUAUAUUUAUGCAUGUAGUUGUGAAAGGAGUUAGCCUAAAGAGCAGUGCGGGUGUAGGGAGGCCUGUGGAUAUCGAGACUGUAGAGUGUAUAUGCCAGCAAUAGCGAGCUGUUUCUGAGCUCCUGGAUUGCUUUUAAUCAGCCAUGUGCCCGCACGCUCCCAUUUCUAUUGUCUUAUGCUGGCAUCUGUCAAACACACGUGGCCGCUGGUCUACGUAGGGGCGGGGCGCAGAGAGGAGCUUCCAAGGGAAGGAAGGGGGAAGCUGAAGGCUUCGUUGGAAGAGCUGGGCUGGAGGCGGUCCCACUGGAGAGAAAGGAGGCGGUCCGAGUGUUUCAGGAAAUCUCUCCCCUAGGCGGAUCUAGAAUCUCCAUGGAAAUAAAUCUGUGGACAUGCCUUGGAGGAAUUGCAUGGAUGAGAAUUGCAGAGAGGCUAAAGUUGGUGAGAGCACCAAGUUUCUGAGGGAAUCCCAAGAAGUCAAAAUGAGUAUCAAAGCUGUUUGGUUGUCAACUGGACUACAUCUGGAAUGAACUAAACCCAAGCACUGGGCACACCUGUGAGGGAUUUAUUUUUUUCUUAAUUAAACCAUUUGAAGUAGGAAGACCCACUUCUCAUCCAGAUCUUUGAGGUGAGAAGAAACAACUUUAACCUGAGCCACACCUUCUGCUGGCAGCCUGUGUACAGGACAUGGAAGAAGACAGUUUGCUCCCUUUGCCUGCUUGCUCUCUUGAUCUUGCUGGCAAGCUCACUCCUUCACUGACAUUAGAGCCUACUUUGGGAUUUCAGCAUAUACUGAAGACCAGCUGAGGCAUCCAGCCUCAUGAACCGAACAACUACCGGAUUCUUAGACCUUCCAUUGGCAGACAGCCAUUGUUGGACUAGAUGGACCACAGCCUGUAAGCCAC
rnacentral:lncRNA from 1 species